rnacentral:ncRNA from 1 species
GGUUUGGUCGCCAUACGGGCGUGAAAAGGGAAUGCCGUGAAAGUCGGCAACAGUCCCGCUGCUGUAAGUCCUCCAUGGCGGUGUUUCAACCACAAAGCCACUGUGUUGCGCCAUUGCAACAUGGGAAGGCCGGAACACCGCAGGACAAGUCAGAAGACCUGCCAAACCGA